UACGUAGGGUGCAAGCGUUGUCCGGAAUUAUUGGGCGUAAAGAGCUCGUAGGCGGUUAGUCGCGUCUGCUGUGAAAACUCGGGGCUUAACUCCGGGCCUGCAGUGGGUACGGGCUGACUAGAGUGCGGUAGGGGAGACUGGAAUCCCUGGUGUAGCGGUGAAAUGCGCAGAUAUCAGGAGGAACACCGGUGGCGAAGGCGGGUCUCUGGGCCGUAACUGACGCUGAGGAGCGAAAGCGUGGGGAGCGAACAGG
rnacentral:rRNA from 1 species